CUAGAGAGCGUGGUUUCGAUCCACGGACCUCUGGGUUAUAGCACGCUCCCAAUGCGCCACUCUGCU